CCUACGGGACGCAGCAGGGGGGAAUAUUGCACAAUGGGCGCAAGCCUGAUGCAGCCAUGCCGCGUGUGUGAAGAAGGCCUUCGGGUUGUAAAGCACUUUCAGCGGGGAGGAAGGCGUUAAGGUUAAUAACCUUGGCGAUUGACGUUACCCGCAGAAGAAGCACCGGCUAACUCCGUGCCAGCAGCCGCGGUAAUACGGAGGGUGCAAGCGUUAAUCGGAAUUACUGGGCGUAAAGCGCUCGCAGGCGGUCUGUCAAGUCGGAUGUGAAAUCCCCGGGCUCAACCUGGGAACUGCAUUCGAAACUGGCAGGCUAGAGUCUUGUAGAGGGGGGUAGAAUUCCGGGUGUAGCGGUGAAAUGCGUAGAGAUCUGGAGGAAUACCGGUGGCGAAGGCGGCCCCCUGGACAAAGACUGAUGCUCAGGUGCGUAAGCGUGGGGAGCAAGCAGGAUUAGAUACCCUGGUAGUC
rnacentral:rRNA from 1 species